CGGCGGACGGGUGAGUAACGCGUGGGAACCUGCCUAUUGGUACGGAACAACAGUUAGAAAUGACUGCUAAUACCGUAUACGCCCUUCGGGGGAAAGAUUUAUCGCCGAUAGAUGGGCCCGCGUUAGAUUAGCUAGAUGGUAAGGUAACGGCUUACCAUGGCGACGAUCUAUAGCUGGUUUGAGAGGAUGAUCAGCCACACUGGGACUGAGACACGGCCCAGACUCCUACGGGAGGCAGCAGUGGGGAAUAUUGGACAAUGGGGGCAACCCUGAUCCAGCGAUGCCGCGUGUGUGAUGAAGGCCUUAGGGUUGUAAAACACUUUCACAGGGGAUGAUAAUGACAGUACCCUGAGAAGAAGCUCCGGCUAGCUCCGUGCCAGCAGCCGCGGUAAUACGGAGGGAGCUAGCGUUGUUCGGAAUUACUGGGCGUAAAGCGCGCGUAGGCGGCUUAGCAAGUUGGGGGUGAAAGCCCGGAGCUUAACUCCGGAACUGCCUCCAAAACUGCUAAGCUAGAAUCCUGGAGAGGUGAGUAGAAUUCCUAGUGUAGAGGUGAAAUUCGUAGAUAUUAGGAAGAAUACCAGUGGCGAAGGCGGCUCACUGGACAGGUAUUGACGCUGAGGUGCGAAAGCGUGGGGAGCGAACAGGAUUAGAUACCCUGGUAGUCCACGCCGUAAACGAUGGGUGCUAGUUGUUGGGUAGCUUGCUAUUCAGUGACGUAGCUAACGCGUUAAGC
rnacentral:rRNA from 1 species